UACGUAGGUGGCGAGCGUUGUCCGGAUUUACUGGGCGUAAAGCGCGCGCAGGCGGUUCUGUAAGUCCUGGGUGAAAUCGCCCGGCUCAACUGGGCGGGGGCCUGGGGGACUGCGGGACUGGAGGGGCCUAGAGGCCGGUGGAACUCCCGGUGUAGUGGUGAAAUGCGUAGAGAUCGGGAAGAACACCAGUGGCGAAGGCGGCCGGCUGGGGGCGCCCUGACGCUGAGGCGCGAGAGCGUGGGUAGCAAACAGG
rnacentral:rRNA from 1 species